rnacentral:rRNA from 1 species
AGUGAACGCUGGCGGUAGGCCUAACACAUGCAAGUCGAACGGCAGCACAGUAAGAGCUUGCUCUUACGGGUGGCGAGUGGCGGACGGGUGAGGAAUACAUCGGAAUCUACUUUUUCGGGGGGGAUAACGUAGGGAAACUUACGCUAUUACCGCAUACGACCUACGGGGGAAAGCAGGGGAUUUUCGGACCUUGCGCGAUUGAAUGAGCCGAUGUCGGAUUAGCUAGUUGGCGGGGUAAAGGCCCACCAAGGCGACGAUCCGUAGCUGGUCUGAGAGGAUGAUCAGCCACACUGGAACUGAGACACGGUCCAGACUCCUACGGGAGGCAGCAGUGGGGAAUAUUGGACAAUGGGCGCAAGCCUGAUCCAGCCAUACCGCGUGGGUGAAGAAGGCCUUCGGGUUGUAAAGCCCUUUUGUUGGGAAAGAAAAGCAGCAGGUUAAUACCCCGCUGUUCUGACGGUACCCAAAGAAUAAGCACCGGCUAACUUCGUG